rnacentral:lncRNA from 1 species
CAGACCAGAAGUUCACAAUACUCAUUAGAACAGAUUUAAUCAGCAUAAGUCUUCCUGCAUAAGAGAGAAACCUUGUGGUCCAAGUGUUAAUUCGCCCUCUUAUCUUCUCCACAAGCGGCUGAUAAUCCUGACUUCUCAUUGCCUGAGACAUUAAGGGUAACCCUAAGUAUCUUACUGGCAAAUCCCCUACAGCAAAAGGGAAAUCUGAUAAUAUAUGACUCUUCUCCUCCACCGGAACCCCCGCCAUGUAGAUAGUUGAUUUCUCCAAACUGAUUUUCAAUCCUGACCAAGCAGCAAACUCGUCAAACACUGCCAAUGCACCUUCAAUCGAAUCUUUAGAACCCUCCACAAACACCAUCAAAUCAUCAGCGAAACAUAGGUGAGUCAACGAGAGAGAAUGACACCUGGGAUGAAACUUGAACUUCCUCUCAGUAGCCGCUUUGUCUAUCUUCUUUGAUAAGAUAUUCAUACAAAGCACAAAGAGAUAGGGAGAUAGUGAGCAACCCUGUCUCAAUCCCCUUGCACUUUGGAAGUAGCCAGCUAAGUCUCCGUUUACCUGAACUGAGAAAGAAGGACUCGUGAUACACAAGCGGAUCCAGUGCACAAAUUUACUCGGGAAACCCAAAACCUCCAACCCCUUAAGAACAAAAUCCCACUGAACCGAGUCGAACGCUUUUGAAAUGUCAAUUUUCAUCACACACCUUGAAGAAACUGAAAGCUUAUGAUAAUCUCUCACCAAUUCAGAAGCCAAAAGCACAUUCUCCAUAAGCAAUCUCCCUUUGACAAAGGCGGACUGAUUCUCACUAACAAUUCUUGGUAACACCCGCUUCAAUCUGUUAGCCAAAAUCUUCGAAACAACCUUGUAUAAGACAUUACAACACGAAAUCGGUCGAAAGUCUUUCAUCUCCAUUGAGUCAAUCUUCUUUGGGAUCAAAGCAAGGAUCGUGGAAUUCACACCUUUUGGAGGAAACCAUAUUUGAAAACAGACUGAACCGCCACCACGAAAUCCUGACCAAGAACUGCCCAAGUAGCUUUAAAAAAUUCACAGGGGAAUCCAUCAGGCCCAGGGGAUUUGUUACUUGGCAUAGCAAAUAAUACCUUUUGAACCUCAUCACUCGUUACCUCAGCCUCCAACAUAUCACAAUCCUCCAUGGUGCAGCGAAACUCUAAAAGAUCACGAAGCUCGUCCUCCGUAGCACCAACAUACUCUGAUGGCUUCAUAUUCAUAAACUCAGAGAAGAAACGCUCCGCUUCUUGUUUGAUAUCCUCAUGUUUGGUAAUAAUACUACCAUUCAAACACCUUAUCUCACGAAUCAAGUUCUGAGCAUACCGACUUCUAAUAGCAUUGUGGAAGGUCUUAUUAUUCUGAUCUCCAAUCUCCAACCAGUGCAGCUUUGCCCUCUGUUUAAGAAAAUCCUCUUCCAGACUUGCAAUAUGCAACCAUUUCUCAUACGCUACCGCCUCUUCUUGAGCUGCACCUUCACAAGGGUUUGCUAAAGUGCUUCGCUGCUUAUCACAUAGAUUCUCAUGAGCCUCUUUAGCACGCUUAGUUAAAUUUCCUAGCCCUUUACGCCCCAGCUCUCUAAUAUGCGGCUUCAGAUUCUUCAAUUUCUUGGAGAACCUAUACAUAGCAGAGGUGGAGUGAAAUAAAACCUCGGUAGACUGCCAAUACUCCUCAAUCAUGGGCUGAAAACCUGAUAACCUUCCAACUGCAUUUACAUACUUGAAAGGACGUCUAAUCUGUUCUUGAGGCGGCCACAACUGAAUCAUACAUCGCAUAUGAUCCGAACAUCCUCCCGGUUCAAAAACAGAGUAAGCUGUAGAAAAUUUUAGCAAAGCAGCAUCAUUCAUAAGAACUCGAUCAAGUUUCUUACAGAUAAUCCCCUCAUCUUGCUUAUUACUCCAAGUAAAUCGAGGUCCUUGGUAACCCAGAUCAGACAGAUGACAAUGCAAUGCCAUACGCUGAAAGUCUCUCAUUCCCCUAGGUAGCCUUUCUAACCUUGAAAAUCUUGAAUUCUCCUCCUCAUCCAAGAUCUCAUUAAAAUCUCCCAUUAUCAUCCACUCCUUAUUUUUAAACAUAGCCGAAUCAUGAUGGUUGCAAAGAUCAUCCCACAACUCUUUCCUUCCUUCCACCUGAUUACUAGCAUAGACGAAAGUACACAAAAACUCUUCUUUAUUCUCUACCCCCACUGAGCACGUUAUCAGUUGGUCUGACUUAUACACAGGAGUCAUACGAACCUCAUCCCUCCAUAAAACCCAAAUACGACCUCCACUACUACACUCAUAGUUCAUCAUACUCGACCAACCUUUAAAAACCUCCUUUAUUAUUCUUUCUGCUUUACUUUCCUUCACCCUUGUUUCCAAUAUGCACCCAAAUUUCACCUCAUUAUUACUAAUCCACUCCUUGACUACAGAUUGCUUUAACGGCUUGUUGAAACCUCUCACAUUCCAAAAGAAGCUCGCCAUAUCAGUAUUUUCGUCGAGAAGACCUCUUUCCCUUCGGAUUUACAUCCGGAGCUUUAGUCUUCUGAGCAUUCCUCACCCCUUUUUGUGGCAUCACCUUUUCCUUACUCCUACUCUGUUGAGCAAGAAUAGUAUCCUCAAGAUGAUCCGCCUCUGAAACCUUUAUAUCAUCAUCCACCUCCAAGAUAUCCUCUUCAGUCUCAUCCUUCUCCCCUACCUCCUCUAAUUGAAUUUCACCUUCUUCCAUCUUUUCAGCCUCAUCCAUACUUAGAACCGAGAACUUGGAAGUCGAAACCUGAAUAUCAGGGGCUUGCUUUGGUGAUUGAGUCCUCCCAACUUUCGUUGGUGAAACUAAAGACCAAGCAGAACCUCCAAUAUCUUUUUUUCCUACUUCCUCAUUCUUUUCCACAACUUCUUUUUCCCUCUCCUCCUCUCCUCCUCCUUGGAUAUCCUCAUUAUUUUCUUUCACAUCUACUUUAGUCUUUUCCCCACUACCUCCCUGAACAUCAGCUUCCUCAUUUUCCCUUCUCUUGUCUUUACCAUUCUUAACACAAAUCUUAUCUGUAUGGCCCCAUUUCCCGCAAAGAUUGCAUUUCGAUGGAAACCAUGGGUAAUGAAACUCCACUGUGAACUCCUUCCCAUCUUUAGUGAAAUCAACUUCCUUCGGCAAAGUCUUUGAUACAUCCACAUUCACAAAAACUUUAGCAACCUCCAGAUUAGUACACGCAAUGGUCUCUGGAUGCAACCUAUCCGGGAACCCCACAGUACUUGUCAUGAAGCUGAUGCCCUGCCAAGAAUACAUAUGGAGUGGAACCUUUUUUAGGUGAAUCCACAUUGGAAUCGAAGUCUCCUCCUGUUUCUCUUCCUCCGUCUUUGGAAUCCAUUUUGUAACCACCAUAGGAACCCCCGCAAUAAUCCACAUACCCCUCUUAAGAAUCUUCUCCCGAGCUUUGAGAUUUGAAAUCCUAAACCUCAUCGUUGUUGCAUCUUCAUCAUAGACAUCCACUUUCGAAUCCAACUCACCAUACUUCCAUAUUUUAUUGACCACCAUAUGAACUUUCGCCAUGUGAGGUGCGAGAUUCAAAAACCUACCAUUCACAAAAUCAUCCCACAGUGGCGUUGAAUCAACAAGCACCUCAUCAGGAAUCAUCACCUUAUGCUUACCAUCUUGAGUCGAUACCUCAACUUCAUACUUCUUCAAACUUUUCUUAUCCUCCGCCACAACUACCCAACUCUUCGCAUUUCUCGAUCCCGAACUUUCCUUUUGCUUCUCAACCACCGCAGCACUCGUAUCCUCAUCCAGAAGCCCCGAAACUAUCCCCAGAGGGCGUAAAUCCCCCGGCAGAUUAGCCUCAUCCAUCACGCGAAACUAGAUUUCGAUCGCCAAAAUAAUCUCCUCAGAAUCGCCUUUUUGGAAAACGCAGCGUUUCGAUUUUCUAAUUCUUAUAUCUACUUCUUCGCUUGUCUAAAGUUCAUCGCCGUUGCCGGACAACGAACCCGGGUAUCUUAUUUACAGAGAUAAAUUUUAAUUUGGAUAAAUAAAAGCUUCACAUUACUAUUGAAAAUAAAAGAAGCUCCGCAUCGAAACUUAUCCGAGAGUAGCAGUAAUUGUUAGGAAUGUGGGAAUCAAAUCAGUUUUAUACUGAAAAAGAAUAUUUAUAAGUUGUAUUCCGAGUAUUGUGUGUUUAACACAGAAACAUAUAGACAGAAACGAAUGAGCUGGGAAAAACGUGUGGGAGAAGAGAGAGCGCGUGCACCAACGACAGUGCAGGGUUGACUGGAGACCGUAGGGUCGUGGAGAGCGCACUGUUCUCUACACACGCCUGUACCCACAUUUCCUCUCGACCGACAGACGACGUCGUUUAGUGUCUUUACCAUGAGAAAUAAAAUCAUUUAAUCAAGUGUAGUGAUUUUCAUACCAUGCAUGGUUUUCCGUCGUCAGUGUUUAAAUUAUUGAUUAUAAAGUUCUUGUAAGUACUCAACUAAUACACCAGUUAACUGUAGACUCAUGGUACUGUUUUAUUGUCUCGGAUAUGAUUUUUUUAAAUCGUAAAGUUAUGAACAAACUGUUUUAUUUUUUCGUCUUUUUUGAAAGUUGAUACGAACAAAUUGUUGCAAUCUUGAAAUCUUACAGUAAUAAUGCUUGUGAAAUGCCAAACCAUGAAGUAUACAAUAUAGUUCAGUUUUUUACUUUUAAAAAGGUACGAAAUUGAAUGAUCGUGGUUACAUUCGUUUCUUCACUAUGAAAUAAUGGAUGAUUAAAGAAAAAAAAAAGUUAGAGAGAGGUGAGAGAAACUUUCUCUCAAAUCUCUCCCCACCCAAAGUCGUCUUUUCUCGAACCUCACCAUCUUGAUUUCGAUUCCGGUGGCCGGCGGUGGUUGCUAAUCGUCGGUCGCCACCCCAAUUUUCUCCCCUUAUCCAAACCUCAACCCCGUCGAGCUCCGAUUUGCACACUUCCUCCUUGCUUCAUCACCUCUAGUUCUUCGUCGGAUUGCGGCCGGAUCCGGCGAACCAAACCGGUUUCUGGGUGUGUACCUAGCUUCUCCGGAGUGAUGGCGAGGUCGUGGCUGGUCGGAUCUCUUCAGGAGGCGUCGUUGGGAUAGUAGAUCUAGGGUUUGACUCGCGGUGGAUCUGGGUCAUUUUCACCUCGGAGGGUUCGCCGGAAGCGCAGUGUGUCGCUGUCACUGUGUCUCUGGUCAGCUUUGCUGCCUCCCAUGUCCUCCCCUGUCUCUUCCUUCCGGUGCUCUCGCUAGAACUUCCCCGUCGAGCUCUUCGGAUCUGUGACGAAACGCGAAGUUGAGGGCUUUGCUGGGGACUUCUCUUCCGUGUUGACUCCAUAACAACCACCAUGGCGUCGGAUGGCUUCGGAUCUGUUUGGGGGUUUCGAGAUAGGUCAGGGUUUUGUCUCUGCCUCCAUGUGACGGGUCUUCUCCAUCUUCUCUGCCUGCUGAUGGGAGCUCCGCCUCCUCCACUCUUAAAGUUUCAGAAGGAAUUUGACACCCGUUCACUGCCUCUUCGUUGCUAAGCAGCCAGAUUCUUCAGUGCUCUGCUCGUAUGACGGGACCGGAGUCGAGCCGUAUAACCUCCGCUUCCGUCAACCUGUACUUCACCGGUGCUUAAUUGCUGGCUUCUUCGUGUCGGUUUGGAUUAUCAGGGAAUGGUCUUGUUGUAUUCCCGGAGUGAGCAACGUCUGGAGUGGACUUCGUAGGUUGCGAUUGCCGGACCAGGGCUUGGUCUCCCCUGCUUCGCCGGUCCUCUUGUCGGAGUCGCCUUCGGGAUGGUCUGCGGUCCCUCAGACUGUUCUCCGGUUGCGAACUCUCUUGAUUACUUCUCUUGUUGCAGGUACCGGUGGCAAGAUUGAGUUGUGAUCUGCUGAUACUUAACGGUUGUUCUGUUUUCUUCCAUAUGCCAAGCUUUAGUCUUGUCUUUAGGGACUGUGGCUAGACCUUUUAGUUUGUUUUAGAGAGUUCUUUUUAACUUUUUUUGUGGCUCUCUCUAACACUUUUGCUUUGAUAAGCUUCUUAGAUUCCUAGGGUUUGAUUUCAUCAAACUCUUGUAAUCUCCCUGUAUCAUUAACAAGUUUAAUAAAAAUUCACAUACUUAACAAAAAAAAAAAAAAAAAAAAAAUGGAUGAUACGUGUCGAGCAGCUAAAACAAGCAUAUUAGCAUAGUAUUUUAUACAUCAAGCAUUAUAAGUUACCUAAUUGAUUCCCAUAAGGCCAUAACACUGACAUAUACGUGUGUAUGAAUUUACCACUAGGCAUAUAUACCAAAGGGCUAAAGACAACAUUAUUAGAUCAUGUAUAAGUGGAAAAAAACGAGAACUGCAACGAAUUGUCAAAUUAUAUUGCAACAAUGGACCGAACCUCUCUUUUUUACAUCGGUACAAAACAUAUAGAUAACAAUAUAUUUCAAAAUCAAACCAGCCGUACCAAACAAAACAUCCAGCUCAGGUUAGCCUAACUAAAGAUACAAAAGAAGAGAAUAAUAAAAUAAAAAUGGGCCGAGUGUGCAAGUGUGGUGAGAAAACGAGGGAGGAGAGGACGAAGCUGGACCAGGCUUCCAAACACUCCUGUCUUCAUUCUCUGACCUUUGACUCUCUCCAUUACCACAUGCAUGAGAGACCGUGACAAUUAUUUUGAUGAGAUCUAUGUAUAUGUUGGUUUUGGACGAACUACGAUUUAAUCAUUGGCUUAUUUGUUAAAUAGCCAAAAAAAAAGCAAAAUUAGUUUUCUAGAAAGAUGCUAGAGAGAGAUACGAAUAGAAAAAUGGAAAGGUAGUGUGUUUUUGGUUACUUUGUCAAUUUUGGUUUUUUAAUGUCAUUGGGUGCAAUUUCCCUUUAAUCAUAGAGUUCACUAGAUUUUUAUUUUUUUUUUCUAAAAAUAAUUGUUGAGGUGAAACUAAAUUUGUCUAUUUUUGAUAUUCUCGGUUUCUCUUUGCUCUGUUUGUUGUGCCCCAUUAUAUUCUCUUUCGUGGCAGCGCGUGGAGUUUCUGGUGGUGGUGUGUGGCAGCGUGUUAGUGAGUGUUAGUUUCGGUAUGCUUAAGCUUCGCUUUUAGAUCCGAGUGCUCGUCACCCCCCAAAACGGAAUGAUAUCGGUGGUUGUGGCCUGCUCUGUCUCUUCCACUUCUCGAUAAUUCUUCAGCUUUGAGUUCGUGACUAGAGAGCAGUUAACGGCUCGAGUUAUGUUCGUGGUGUAUUAGUUAGGCUCUGGUUCUGAGUGUGGCUUCAAAUUUAUUUCUUCCAGAGAGUUGUCUUUCGAUUUGUUUUCUAUAUAUUUCCAAGUUAGAUGGGUGUAUACGGUUUCAGUGGAUUGCAAAGAAGACAGUAAUAUCAUGUGUAAAAUGCUGAAUGACGGCAUCGUCAUCAGCCUACGGCUUUUCCUAGUACCGUCGGUGGUCUCUAUUUUCUGGUAUGUUUUGGGCUCGGGUUUGGAUACUUCGCUAGGGUAUGCUUUGUGUUCUUGUUGGAAGCUGUAGGAACGAUCAAGGCGCCCUUCUCCCAGUAGCUCGUGGCAGCCAUCGGAUUACAUAUCUAGUACUUGUGGUUGGUAGGUCCAGCAGUAAGCUGCUUACUAAUUUGUGUUUGCUUUCGGUAUGUUCCACAAAUGUUGUGUAGGUGUUACAAUAUUCCUUUCUUUUUUUGCUACUUAUUUUCUAUAUAUCAUCUGUCAAAAUAAAAAUUUGGUAAUAAUAACUUAACAUUUUAACCCAAAAAAAAAAAGUUCACUAGAUUUUGGUAUCGACCAAUAUAACAACAACUCUUAUUAGAUCAAACACUCAUAUAUGCAUUGUUUUCUUUUACGUCUUAAUCGUUAAUUUUUCUGGUUGUCUUUACGCUCAAUCUAAUUUCCUUUAAUAAUACUGUCAUCAAUUAUUAAUAUCAUUUUCAUAGCUACUAUUAAAAAAAAAUUCAUAGCUACUAACACCUCACUCUUCGCCCUUUGAGAAUUUAAAAGAUGUGCACAUGAAUUCUAGUUUGGUUCUUUUGUCCUAAAAAAAAUAGGGUACUGGUAUCAAACCAAAUCAUUCUCGGUCACUCAGAAACAAAAAUACACAUAAGAAACCUUUUUAGUUGUUCCCAUGAGGACAGGACAAUGCAAAGACAGGAAGGUGCUGCCCUUUUGUUGUUGUUUUAUUUGAAACUACCCCUUUUGUUGUUCAUUUACAUUAAUGUCUGCAAAUAAGUUAAACCAAAGUUUAUAAAGAAAUAAUCAAUAAAUUAAAAUCAGAAGAAGCAGAUCACAAAUUUUAGGUUUGUCCACCUACCGAAUUUAUUUUGAUUUCGAUGUUUGUGUCGUGGAAUAUUUGUCUUCGUUCGAUAAUUUCCUUUUAAAUAUCAAACCCCCUCCAUUGAGAAAAUUAAAACUAGAACACAUUUGUUUCAGUAUAUAGAGUAUCUUUGUACCUUGUUUAUCUGGAACAAAAGUUGUUUUCUAAAUGUGAUUAUGUUACCUAGUUUCUUUUGAAGUGAUAUUAGUAUUUUUGUACUCUACAUCUUCAAAAAAAGUUUCAAUGAAGUUAUUUAUUGUUGAAGCUUCGAUCAUACUUAACUCCAACGCAUCAAUAUAUCUUAAAUUUCACUACUUUGAAUGAAAUGGGUGAAGUCUACAUUUUCAAGCGGUAUAUCAAAAUGGAUCUACGACUUACCAGUCUUGACUACUAAAAUAUAUAAUCAUUGACUUAUCGACCAUUACCUAAAUUAAAUGAGAGCUGAAUGUUACGAGCUAGUAACUAGUUUUUGACUCAUGAAUUCAAGACCAUAGAAUAGCUAAUAGCUAUGACAACUUUUGUCCCUAGUUUUGUAGAAUUAUGUGCUUCUAUGACUUUGAGGUUCUAUUACGAAAAAAAAAACCCAAUAAAGCAUUGAUAGAUGCGUGCAAAAAAGAAGUGGUUUUCCAGUAUACGUAAAAUAAAAAAAAACGAGUCAAAGAUUUUGCUAUAAAGAAAAAAAAACAGUCAAGCUUUUUAGAUUUGGUUGUAUUAUUAUGGGGUGGGGUGAUUAUCACGGGUUUGAUGUUAACACAAGCAAGUGGAAGUUGUCUUGUGGUGGACCUUCCUCGUUCCUAGUCUUUCGCAUUUCACUGAUUUAGUUUGACCAAUUUCCAUUAAUAUUUUUAGUAACAAAAUGUACUAUAUAUAUAAUUCAAGAUCUGGUUUUUAAUUUUUGUAUAAUAGACAUCAAUGUUUUGGUGGUUGUGGCCUGGGUAGCGAUUAAAAGCGAUUGUAACUUGAAGCUUUCGAUUGAAAAAGUUUGAAAUGUCAUGAUUAUACAUAAUUGUGAUUUCCAGUCUUAGACAUACCAUCCCGGCCGAACCUGAUGCAUGAAGCUUGUAUAUUAUGGAGAAAAAAAUGAGAAUACAAAAUACUUUGUCUUCAACCUUUCAUAUGACGUAUGUUUUCUUAGUUUAUUUUAGCUGAAAUCAAGAAUUGUAUCUCUAACAACCUAAUAUUAAUACUUUGUUAUUUUUAUUUGCGAUGCCUAUAAUGUUUUGGACGUAUAAUAGAGCAUAAAUAAACUUGUAAGUUUAUCAUAACGAGAUGUAUAAUAACUGUAUAUCAUUCACAUAAAGCUUAAGCUUCACUUCUAAGAAGCGACUUUCCCUACAAGAUACACUAGAUUUUGACCCGCGCAGGCGCGCGGGUGUAUAUUUUGAAAAAUAUGUUGAUAUUUGUUUUUCAUGUAAUUAUUAGGAUUUAGAAAAAUGAAUCCGAGAAACAUAACCGAUACCGAUCCAAAGAUAUAGUACCAAACCCAAACAUAAAUUGAUUAAAUAUUCUAAUUAUUCAAAAUUUUGUUAUUUAGAGAACCGAAUCUGAUCCGAACCGAAGUAUUUGGGUAUCCGAAUUUAUCUAAAAAUAGAUUUAUAUACUUAUAUAUAUUAGUUAUUUUUAGAUUUAACGUAUAUAAAACAUCAAAAAUGAUACUUUUAAAUUGGUUUAAAUACUUGAAUAUAUAUAUAGAUAGUCAAAAGUAAAUAUCUGAAAUAGUUAAAGUAUACUCAAAUCACCAAAAAUACUUAAAAUAAUUAUUGAUUUCGUAUCCAAAAUUUUAAAUCAAGCCAGUUGAUAUGUUAAGCUUAAGUAUUAUGACAUAUGUUAUUCAAAUUUAUACGUAAUAUAUUAUUUUAUUUAUACAUUUUGAGAAAUUUAAAAUAUAUAAUGAUUUAAGACUUUAAAAAUAAUUUAAAUUAAUUAUCCAAACCUAAACCAAACCCGCAAAGAUCCAAAUCGAACUCAAACCAAAAUUUAGAAACAUUCUAAUAAGGCUGAAAUCUUUGACCCCGAAAACCCAAAAUACAAACCGAUCAGAACUAAACCCGUAUGGGUAUCCAAAAGCCCAUCCCUAGUCAUUAUUAUAUAUCGUAUUUUAUCAUCAUAUAAUUAAUCGUAUUUUAUAUGUACCAUCAUAUAAGUAAUCAUAUAAUUAAUAGUAUUUUAUACAUACCAUCAUAUAAAUAAUUACAUAUAUUAUAUUUUUAAAACUUAAUAUGAAAUAUGAAAACCAUAAUUUGAGUUGGUAUUUCAAAUUGGGCUUUGUAUUAUAUUUUUCUUAUAUAUAUUGACAAUAUUUUUUUAUAAUGGUUAUUGAAAAAUAGUUUAGUAAAAAUCCAUUUUUGAAUAUAUGUAUAUUUUUGAAUCAAUUUUUGAUAUAAAUCAAAUUUGAAUGAUUAUUUUGAUUUGAAAUAUGUAUAUAAAGUUUAAAUUUUGUUUUAUGGUUAGUUUAGAAAAAAAAAAUUUAGGGAAUUAGAUUGACCCAUUUUGGUAUAUUUUAAAAGUGGCCUAGAUAACUUUCAAUUUUUUUAAAAAACAUAAGCUCAUUAUUUUUUUUCUUAAUACUAUUAUCCUUGUUUUCAAACAAAAAUAUUUUUUUUAAAAGACUGCAAUCCAUGUUUCCAAACACUCCAAAUUUGUAAAAGUCUUAUUCAAAUCUCCAAACACUCCAAUUUUGUACUUGAGUUUUAAUAAGAUAGAUUACGUUGAUGGCAUCUUAAUCAUGUUCUACUAACAUAUUUAUUUAAUUAAAAAUUCCAGCCGUAUUUUUACAAAGUUAUAAAUGGCACACGUGUGGGGGCUCAUAGCCAGAUAAGCUCGUUCCUCAUACUCUCACAACAAUCACACCUUCUUCUUCUUCUUUGCAGCUUUCUCUCUGAGUUUCUGUGUAUUCGAAACUCGUUUAAAUGCCGAGAAGUCUAGAGCCGUUGGAUCUAGGACUCCAGAUACCGUACCACUUCAGAUGUCCAAUCUCACUAGAGCUGAUGCGUGACCCGGUAACCGUCUGCACCGGUCAAACCUACGACCGAACAAGCAUCGAGUCAUGGGUCUCCACAGGAAACAACAACACGACAUGUCCAGUCACACGCGCUCCUUUGUCGGACCACACUCUCAUCCCGAACCACACCCUCCGCCGCCUCAUCCAAGAAUGGUGCGUCGCCAACCGCUCCAACGGCGUCGAGCGCAUCCCUACUCCCAAACAGCCCGCCGAUCCAACCUCCGUCCGAGCUCUCCUCAGCCAAGCCUCCGCCGCGUGUGGAACUCACGUCUCCGUUCGCUCCCGCGCCGCCGCUCUCCGCCGUUUGCGUGCGUUCGCGCGCGAUUCCGAGAAGAACCGCGUUUUGAUCGCCGCGCACAACGCCAAAGAGAUUCUGAUCAGGAUUCUGUUCUCCGACGUGGCUCCUGAGCUGGUCUCCGAGUCCCUCGCUCUUCUAGUUAUCUUCCCGAUGACGGAGCCUGAUCAGUGCGUUUCUAUAAUCUCGGAUCCGGGUCGGGUCGGGUUCCUGACCCGGUUGCUAUUCGAUUCCUCUAUAGAAACGCGCGUUAACGCCGCCGCGUUGAUAGAGAUGGUGGUGACGGGAACGAAGGCGGCUGAUAUUAAAGGAACGGUUUUAACCUCUGAGUGUAUAUUCGAAGGAGUUAUCGAUCUUCUACGUAAUCCUACGGUAACGUCGUCCCCACGGCGAGCUCUCAAGAUCGGAGUCAAAGCGCUGUUCGCGCUCUGCCUCGUUAAAAACACGCGGCACCUCGCGGUAUCCUCCGGUGCGCCGGAGAUUCUGAUCGACAGACUCGCGGCGGGAUUAGACAGGUGCGACACCGAGCGAGCUCUGGCUACGGUGGAGCUGCUCUGCCGGACGCCGGAGGGGUGCGCGGCGUUCGGUGAGCACGCUCUGACGGUGCCGCUGCUUGUGAAGACGAUUCUGAGGGUUUCGGAUCGUGCGACGGAGUACGCGGCGGGGGCGUUGUUAGCGCUUUGCACGGCGGAGGAGCGGUGGAGAGAGGAGGCGGUGGCGGCGGGAGUGGUGGUGCAGUUGCUGCUGAUGGUGCAGAGUGAGUGUACGGAGAGGGCGAAGAGGAAAGGACAGAAGCUGCUGAAGCUUCUGAGAGACUCGUGGCCUGACUACUCCUUCGCUAACUCCGAUGAUUUCGGCUGCAGCGAAGUGGUCCCCUUUUGAACUUUUUUAUUAAUUAAUUCCACAGUAAUUAUUUUUUUAGUCUUUUUCUUUGAGCAAUUAGUAGAAAAGGAAAAAGAAAACACGUAAAGUGGUCAUUUUUUAAUGCAAAAAAAAAAUGUGAAUUAAAAAAUACAAAAAGGUUUGAUGACCAUAAUUAUUUAUAUACUGGUUUUUUUCUUCAGUGUAUGCAACUAAUUUCUCUUCUUAUUGAUUGGCUUUUGGAGCUGGGAAAAGUUGUUAAAAAGCAAAUGGAAGAUUUGCUAAAAGCAUUUAAAGUCAUUCUAUUUGUAUGAUGUACAGCUCUCUUGUUGAGUGCCGUGAGUUUUCUAAUGAAAUGUCAUUAUAGUGUUCUCUGCUUUACAUGAUGCGGCACUCUUGUUGACUUGUCUUCUUUAUGGGCUUACGUAUGGGCUGAAGCUUAAUAUAUUCAGCCCAAUAAAGUAGUAAAAAGGAAACUCAGUUUGGUUUUCAGGUUUUCGUGGAUACAUUUCGUUUUAUUUAUCAAAAUCAGAAAAGAGUCUACACUCAUCAGAUCUCAGAAACACAAACGUAAACACAUUACUCACCCAAUAUAUACACAAACACAAACCAAAGCCCUUGUAAUAAGAACCCUAUUCUUAUAUUUUAUUCAUCACAUAGUCAAGGCAAGAUAUUUCUUGCUACUCACUCUUUUCUUCCUGAACAACAGCCUCUUCAAGAACCCUACUCCUUGCUUCUUUCUUGGAACCAUCUCCAUCUUCUCGCCUUUCGCCUUCUCUGGUUCGUACACUAUCAAGGCAUUGUUAUUGUUACCGUCAUCAUGAGUAAUGCUGUCAUAGGAUGAUGAAUCUUUGGCCGUUGCGUCUUCAAUACUUUCUCGGAGAGAAGGUCUUUUGUGUAGAAAUUGCAUUGUGCUGCUAGUUUCUGUUGUCGAUAGAGCUCUUAGUUGCUUCCUUAAAUUGGUAAUUGUUUCUUGACACUCUGAUAACUUCACAGAAGCUGCCGCAACCUCCCAUCCCUACAAACAAAAAUUCCAUCAUAAUCAAACACCUACGAACCCUAAAUUUUUGAUAUUUUAGUCUGUGAAUUUAUGUACCUUUCUACUCACGCUUUUGUUUCUUUGCAUUGGUUUCUUCGUUUCAACACUGCAAAAAAAUCAUACAAUAGUUGAUGAAAUUUCAAUAGCAAAAGGGAGUAAUGUUGAGAUCUUUAUAUGUGAUUUAAGGGUUUUUGGUUUACCUUUCUAACUGAAGCUGAAGCUCGAUGCAAGUCCCUUCGAGUUCUUCACAACAACUCUUUCUAUAAUCAAACUCUACUUCAAGAGAAGACAGUUUCUUCUCCGUCUCGUUGAGCUUAGCUUCAGCUAUGUGUAGCUUUGUAUCAAGAUCUUCCUUCAUUGACUUCUCAGCUUCCAUCUCAGCCUCUACCUUCUCCUUACUCUCUCUCAACUCCCUGACCUCGCCUUCUAAGCUUCUGAUCUUUGCCUCGGCUUCCUCAAGCUUACCCUUCAGUUCUUGCCUCUCUUCAGUUUCAACUUUCUCCACCUUUGUUAGACCCAAAUGUCUCUUGAUCUCAUCCUUUGUCAUUGGACCUGAUUCCACACGAAACUAAUAUUACAUGCUGUGGUUUCGGACCUAGGAGAUUACGGGCUUCGGCCAGAACCUCCUGGUAUUCAAAAAAUAAAAAUAAAAAAGAACCUGAUUCCACAUUUGAUUUCCAUGUGAUGCAGAGAGGAUCUCCUUCAGCUUUCUUGCUCUCUACAUCAUCAUCAUCAUCCAUACAUCCCAAAGCAAUCUUGAUGUCUUGCAACAACUCUUUAACACCGCGUUUCGAUAUCCUCUCUUGCUUUGAUACAGCACUCAAAACAACUUGAAUCCAGUCGAAAGACCCGUCGUCUUUCUCACCAUCAUCCUCUCCUCUUGGAGCUGCUUUCUCAGUACAAACAAUAGCUAACUUCUCCAUCUCAUUAAAGUCAUCCAUAAGCAACUUCAUCUCCUUUGAACCAGAAGGACUAAUCACACUAUUUUCACUUCUAAUAUCGAAACUCGAAGCACUUAGCGGCUUCUGCCCGCGGCUAAGGUCUUUAAUCUCCAUGUUCUUCCUCAUAAUGAUGUCCAUAAGAUUCUUGUUCUCGGCUCUAACGUUACCUAUCUGCUCCAUCAGCAGAUCGUACUUAAGCUUCCGGCUCUGAGCUUCAUCUCUCAUCAUCAAAUCACUCUUAUUAUUCGCGUUUCUUCUUUUCAUCUCUUCCCCUUCGUUCCUCAUGGAGAUCGACCUAUCAGGAAACUUCUUGCGGAACAGGAGUCUCAGUCUCUUGCAUUCGGCUUCGAGCUCCACGAUCUUGUUCACGUUCCUGAGCUGCUGUUUGUGCGUUAGCUCCAUAGACUUGCGAGUAUACUCUGUUUCCUCUGUUUUUACCUCAAGAUCCUUUUCAAGAACCGUAUACUCGUAUCUCAAGAACGCGUUUUCUUUCUCCGUUGCGUCUAGUCUCGUCAUCAACGCUUCGAAUUCUGAUUCCACUUGAUGCUUACGCUCUUGCAGGCUCACCGCGAGCUCUUCUUUGGCCGCAAGCGACUUCUUUAGCUGAGAGUUCUCAGCGGUUAAUGUAUGAAUCUUUCUCUUCAUCUCAAUUACGUCAUCAAACGCAGAUUCUUCUUGUCUUGAGCUAAAGUUGUUGUUAUCGAGUCUCUUUGCGUCAUGAUCUCUCCCGAGAAGCUCCAUUCGCUGGAGGAGCUUAUCACAAAAAGGGGAUGAGUCUCCUCCAUCCACCAAACUCAUUUCUUCAUCUUUCAAGAAAAUCUCAUCAGCUACAUCUUUAUCUCCGUAAAGAUUCACACGAGGAUCUUUCUUAGGAGAGUUUAAGGCUACAGUAUCUAGCUUCUCGUUCAGAUUUUUUCGAGCUCUCUCGGGUCUAACUCCAUUUCCUGGAGGAACCGUACGUGCCUAGACACCCAAAUCAAAUUAAUCAUCACUCAAAAGACAUUUACUAAGCAAUCUUGAAAUUGAAAAAGCAAAUAAAGACAGAACAUGAGUUACUAAACGACAAAGUUUUGCUGAAGAAAAGUAUAAAAACGUUUGAAGCAAAACUUGGCUACUUCUGCAAGUGUUUAUUUUACCUGUGGUUUAAUGUUUCUUCUAGAAGAACCUUGGAGUGUUUCUGCUACAGAUUCUAUUUUCUUCUUCGAUCUCCACUGGUUUGCAUCCAUUCUUUCUGUAAGAUAGAGCAUAAACUUAAACAUACAACUUUGCAUUCUACUGAGAAUAAUCUAAGAACAAGACCCAAGAAGAUGUAAAUGAUCAAAGGAAAGUUUGGAUGCAAGUUCUUACAUAGUUUUAUGUUAGUUGCCCAGCUUGAACAAGUGUGUGACUAAUGUCUGCAACAGCAAAAUAUGAAGAAGAGGAGAGAUGAAUCUUCGCAAGGAAAUGAGGUAGAGGGAAGCGUCAAAGUGACUAUGUGACACUGAUAUUUAAUUGUUUACGUUUCAACUCAUAAAUAAGCAUUAAAGGGGCCAAAGAUUAUAGGCUUUAUUCAAUUGUUUUUGUUCUGAAGUUAUAGUACAAUGUUUUAAUGAAGAAACUGUUUUAAAACCUUGCCUUUAAUAAAUUUUACUCAAGAAACAAUCAUAAGAAAAUAAAAUUCACCUAUUAGUAAUACCAUUUCAACACUUAACAAUCAUUUUGUUUUUGCAUUAGUAAUACCAUAAUUAAUAUGGUAAUACCUACCCUUAAAUGAAAGGGAGAGCAAGUAUUAAAAAGAAUGCCUGCAAAUCAAUUAAGGGGUUAAAUUAAGUCCACAAGACAUUUAGUGCUACCUAAUGACAGUGACAUUUGUCUUGUAACUUUUUCUUUGAUAAUUACUUUUGCCAUCUCUCUUCUUUUAGUAGGUUUCAUCGGCUUCUUCUUCUUUCGGUUCUCCCUUUUUUUGUAGGCUUCUAACAAGCAAAAUUAUAUUUCUAGAAGAUAUAAUAUAAACAAUUCCAAUGGUUAUUUUUGUCAUAAAAACAAUUCCAAUGGUUGCCAAAAAUAAAUAAUAAACAUUUCCAACGUUAGAAUUUCAACAAUUUUGAUUACUGGUAAACCAUAUAUAGAAGUGUUGACCCUUUAGAAAGAAGUAUACGAAAAAUGUUUGGCCUAAACAUUGAUUCUACCUACUUUUAUUAUUUCUGAGAAAAAUAUAUUAUAAAGUUAAUCAUGGUUAGACAAUCACCAUGUCGCUAGCAAGACAAGUAUUAUUUUCUUUCUUUUUGAUUUUCUUGGAGGCCAUAGGAUUCCAAAUGCUCUCCGGUCUCCACCGACAGUUUUUACUACCACUACCAUUCUUUAAUUACCCAUCAUGUCGUGUUGAAAAGGAAAAGAAAAUAUAAUAUCACAAAAGUUCACAAAAUGGAACGGAGAAGUGGGGAAUAUAGUAAAGGAGACGUUACGAAAAUAUUAAAUUUUGGGGGCCAUAUAAUUUUGUGAUGUCUAUGAAAAGAAUAAAGCUAUGAUUAUAAAACUAAUGAAGAUAUAACCAAAUUAUUAAAUCCACUUUAAGCCGUUAAAAUGAUAUAUAUUUCUUAGUUGUCUUGUUGUAGGGGAAGAAGCCACAAUGAUCUUUUGUAGGUACUUGGUAUAAAAACUUGUUAUAUAGUUUUCAAAUGGAUUUGCUCUGCAUUAUUUGCAUCGGUUGAACCUAAUCGCAGGCAUGCAUUUUAUUUAUUAACUAUAAGAGAGCAAAAUAUUCAGGCAUCCAAGUACUAAUAUCAAGCUUUAUAUCAGGAUCGAUCCUGAUGAAGAGCAGUUAUCUUAAUAUUAUAAGUUAUUAAUAUGUAUGAUUAUAUAACUUUUAAAUCUAUAUAUUAUUUUUAAAAUUAUAAAUCUCUGAACCAUUUGUGUUUACCAUGAGUGAACAAGUUAAAUGGAACUAACCAUCAAUUGGUUUUAUGUUGGAAAUUCAUGAUAAGUCCAAUUAGUUUCAUUUCAAAUUUGUUGUUUGUGAAUAGUAUUACCGUUUGUUUACUCACCCGCGCUCCUGCGCUCACGGCUUCUCUAUAUCAACUCUUCCAGCACAGUUAAGCAACUCUGCAGUUUUUUAAUCAACAAACCAAUUUCAGAAACAAAAGAUCAUCACACACACAAUACACAAGUAUAAUUUAAAGACAGUAUCAAUACAUAGGACAAACAAGAACAUACCUGCUUGCAGGCCCGGCUCAAAUAUUAAAAGCGUCCUGUGCUGCCUUAAUUUUGUUGUCAACCUUUAGUUAUAUUAUAGUCAAUUUAAAAACUAGACCUUAAUAUUUAUAUUUCUUAACAAAAUAGGACCCUAAUUUUGUAAAGUAAAAAACAGGACCGUGUGCAAAUGUGCUGUGAGCACAUGCUCUAAGCCGGCACUGCCUGCUUGGCCAUGAGCAUAGUGACAGUUAUCACCCAAAGGACACUGACGUUUCUCAAACUUCAUACAUAUCCUAGUCUUUACUACUUACUUGGUAGUUUUUUAUAAAACAAAUCUAAUAUAGAAAGAGAUUUGGCCACAUUAUCUGCUUUUAUAUAAAAAUCAUUAAUCUUUAUGCUUUUAGUAAUUUGUUUAAAACCUAGUCUGAUAUAUUAAAUAUAUUUAUCAACAUAUUAUCUAGAUUAAAUGUAACAUGCAUAUAUGUUAAAUUAUUUAGUUAAAUAUUAUAACCCUAAGUUAGCAAAUAUAUAUCAUACCAUUGAAACUUAGAAAAAUUGUUAGAAAUACUACAAGUUAAGUAUCAUUUUUCAAAAAAUACCACCAAUAAAAAAAUAUACUAAUAUUUGGGUUUAUGCUUUAGUGAUUAUUGUUUAGGGUUUAGUAUUAAGGAGUUGGGAUUGAGUUUAUAAAUGCUCUAUAAAUAUUUUCAAAAGAAAUUAGCUUAAUGUUAUUUUAUCACAAAUUUAAGGUAUUUAUGAAAAUAGUCAUUCAUUAAUGGUAAAUUUGAAAAGUGGUAUCAAACUUGCAGUAGAAUUAAAAUUUGAGAGUUUUUCAAAAGUAACUCAUCUUUUCAAGUCAAACAUAAAACCAACCUCUUUUUUUGUCAUUAAUAUUCAUAAAUGAAUUUUCUAUACUAUCCCUAUGUUUUUGAAUUAUUUACAAAAUUAUCAUUAUUAUUUAAUUUUUUAUUAAUUUCGAAAUUCACAAAAAACCAAAUACACCUACAUCUUUUUUUCUUAUUUACAAUAAUGUCAUUAUCAUCAAUUUUUCCAACCAUCAUGAACCACCAAUUUUGAGCUCUUAAAGCUCUAGAAUUCAAUUUUCAACCAUUUUUUUUUCCAUUGUAAAACUAACAAAUCUUCAUUUCCUCUACAUUUCCAUAUAGAAAAAAUUUCUCAUAACUUUCGUUUUCAUAAGCACAAACUUCAUAUUUUCGAGUUUAUUCAUUAGUGAAUCGUCAAAGGCAGUUCUUUUUGUUUGUGUUUGGAGUUUGGACGGUUGAGAAGGUUGGAAACGAGCUUUACACCAGAAAAGAUAACUAUUUACAUGGUUUUCGUUAUUUUUCAGAUCUGUGUCGAGAUCAUAGACUGUUUUGUAUGUCUACGCCUAUAUGCAAACGUAUGAUGCAUUCUACUUGUCAACGUACAUGCCAGUUUUGCAAUUGACCAAACAAAGUUUUUUGUACCGCAGACUUUCCCAGCAGUCUUUAUCUUUGACAACAAAAACAAAAAUUUAGGUAGAUUUACUAAGACGUUUACGUAAGAGAUGCUAGUUUUGCAUUUGGCUGAACUUUUGACUUUUUAUUUUAGACUUCAACGAAAGUCUACGAAGUGUAGAUUGCCUGAGAAGUUUGCAAAAUGUCAGUUUUGCAUUAGACCAAAACUUUAACUUCGUUGAAUACGUUAGUUUUGUGUUUGCCUAAAAAAAUUAAAAAUUAAUUAAGAAUUUAUUAAAUUGUAGAUUUUAUAUGCAGUCUUUUUAUCUUAGAAAAAAAGGUAGACUGCAUGUGAAGUCUACUAUUUUAUUUUGGUCAAAGGCAAAACUAACCCGUCAGAGACGUUCGUUUCCAUUUACUCGUAGAAAUUCAAACUUGGUCAAUUACAAAACUAACCUCUUUAAAAAAAACUUAAAAAUGUAGACUGCAUAUGAAGUCUACUUCUGAAAGUUAAAUCCUAGGUGAAUUUUGGUCAAUUGAAAAAAAUAAACAUUUUUGAAGUGUAGACUGAAAUGGAAGUCUACAUGUAUAAAAUCAAAAAAAAAUUCAAACAUGUAUUAAGUUUUUUCAAGAUUUUGUUUCUUUGACAGUGUGUAUUAAUUAAUCCAAAUGGGUUCGCGUGAUUUUGAAAAGAAAAUCUGUUAUAGUUAUGAAAGUAUAGUACUUUUGAUUUGACUAUGUUGUUAGCUAAUAAUUGUAUACGUAUUUGUAAGUCUACCUUUAUAGUUUUAUGAAACAUGAAAUAUUUCUCCGCUAAUUAUGUAAACUUAGGGCUGUUCAAUAUGGUAAAACCAAACCGUACCGAACCAAACCAAACCGAAAUAGACAAUAUGGUUUGGUUUUGGUAUAUACCAUAUAAACCGAAUGGAUAUAAUUUUAUAAAAACCGUAGGAUUUGGAUAUGGUUUGGUAUAUAACCGAUUAAACCGAAUAAACCGAACAAAACCGAUUAAAAGUAGAAACAUAUAAAUAUGUAUCUAUUUUAAAACAAUACAUGAAAAUCUAUUUGUUACAUAAGUUAAAUUUGUGUUAAUAACUAUUACCAUAAUUUUAUAGUAAUAAAAAACCUUAAUUUGUAAAACAUUUGAACUAUAAUUAAAUAACAAUACAUCGCAAUUCAUACAUCUUAUUUUCUAAGUCUUUUUUUGAUCUUUUUGAUUUAUUUUAGUCUUAACUUAAUUAAUAUGAAGAUUAUAAAUUUGAUGGACAAUAAUUAAUGGAAAAUUUUCAAUUGAAAAAACAUGACUUUAAUGAACACUAAAUAUGGAAGAGUGGAAAAACUUUUCUUUUAUGUUUUUGUUUUGUUUCAUAGUUUUAUUUUCAAAAUUUCAAGCUUUAAUUUUAGUUAUAGAAUUGAUUAUUUUAUUUGAUGGUAGAAGCAUUUUUACUUUUUUGUUCAUCUAUUUGAACAUGUAAUAUAUUUUUAAUAAAUGAUUGUGUUGACAAUAUGACUCUAAAAUUCAUAUAAUAUGAUCUCAAACAAAAUAAUUAUGUUUUUUGGUAUAAAACCGAAUAAACCGAAAACCGACGGUAUAUAAACCGAACCGAACCGAAGUAAAUAUGGAUUUAGAAUGGUAGUUAUAUUUUACUAACCGAAAUACCGAAAACUGAAAAAAACCGAACCGAAACCGAACCGAUAUCCGGAUUGAACACCCCUAUGUAAACUGUAUUUUUUUGAAAAUAACUCUGUUACCUAUUGUAUAUAAUUGGAAAGGAGGAAUAAUGUUCCUUGUACUCAUGGUGAACUUCUAAAAUAGCAUAAGAAGAUUAUGAUCUGGACAAGAAAAUCGAAAAGAUGGUGCUAACAUAUUCCUUACUAGACGUCAUUUUACAACAAAUAACUUCGAAUACGCGAAUACUCCUCUUAUGCAUGUCACAAAUUAUCGACAAGUGCAGAACUUGAUCGAGUUAUCUAAGACACACUUUGUACGUCUUUGUGUAUCAAACCAGCGUCAAGUACACUACAAAUUUUUGGUUUGACUAUAUGUUAGUUAAUACGUAUAAACGUCUUUGUCAAUCUACAAAUGUAGACUGGAGUUGAAGUUUACGUCGUAAAUUCUAUUAAAAGUGCAUUUAUGUAUUAUUCAUCAUAUUUUUUCACGAUUUAAUUAUUUUACGAUGUAUGUUAGUAAAAUUUUAAUUGUCUUGGAUGAAUUUCAAAAGUUAAUGUGUUAUAAUUAUACAUUUCAAACUUAUUGCAAAAAUUUGUGAUUAGUUUUACUCUUGAAACUUCUUGGAAAUUUUGUAUAGAUUUUCUUCUUCUCACAAGUGUGCUAGUUAUUGUUUUAGCUUAUGGUGGUUUUACUUGUUUAGUUGAUUAGAUCUUGUGAAAACAUUGAUAUCUAACAAAAAAUUAAUAAUAUCAUACAAAUCAAACAACACUAAAAAUGAAUACAAUGUUUAUAGAUCAUGCAUUAAACAAUUAUUAAACAAUUAUUUUUUAUUAUGAGAAAUUAUUACAUAGCAAUAUAUUAAAAUUUAUUCUUGAGUGUGUUUGAUUUUUCAUAAUCUCGAUAUCUCAAAUAAAGUCUUGGAAAAGAGUACAUGUAAAGUAAGAUAAAGUUAUGAGAAAAACAUAGGAUAAAAAAUUAAAUCAUAUUUUAGUAGAUUUUUUUUAUAUUUUAGUAGACUUUUUUUUAAGUCUAGGUAAAGUUAUUGUUUAGUGGACUUUAGUUGACUUUAGUUGAAGUCUACACUAACGGAACAUUUUCUUAUCUAAAAGUGUAUAUUUAGGUAAUUUAAAAUACUUUGUUUAGAAAAUAUUUCAAAAUAGUUAUUUUUGUCAACCUUGUAACAAAGCAAAAACAUAAAGUAUGAAUAUAUAAAUUUAUUCAAUAUAAAUACAAAAACAUCCUAUAAUGAAUAUAUGUAAAUCUUACAUUUUUGGGAAGAUGAUUUGAAAACUUCGGAAGAGAAUACCUGUAAAAUAAGAUAAAAUUAUGAAAAAUAAGAUAAAAAUUAAAAUUAUAUUUGAGUAAACUUCUAUUGAAAUAUGCUUAAAAGUCAAGGGUAGUAGACUUCAAGUGAAGUAUACUCUAUAAAAAAAAACUAGAUAUAAGAAAUUACAUACAUUUAAAAUAUAAAAUAAGUUUAAAUCUAAAAAAACUUUAAAAAUAUAAUUUAAUAGACAAAAUAGUAAUAAAUGAAAGGCAUAGAAUUUGAAUAUGUAGCUUUAUUUAAAUAUAAAUAUUAGAACACAUGUUUAAAAUCUAUAGAUGUAAACCUUACAUUUUUGGGAGGAGAAAAGAACAACCAUGAAAAACAAUACCUGGAAAAUAAGAUAAAAUUAUUUCAAAAACAUAGAAAAAAAUUAAAGUCAUAUUUUGUAGACUUCUAAUGAAGUUUGUUUAAACUUUGUGGCUUAGUAGACUUCAUAUGAAGUCUACUAGCUUAAGUUUAUAAGCAGACCUCUUUAGAAGUCUACACUGUCUGAUAAUUUUCAGAUCUGAAAAAAAAUUAUACAUUUCUAAAUGUGAAAAUAAUUUUAAAUCUAAAAAUACUUUACAAAAUAGAAUUUAUAAGAUAAAAUAGUAUCAAAGUAAAUGAACAGAGCUUGAUCUAUAAAUUUAUUUGAAUAUAAACCUAUAAAUACACAUUCAAAUUUAUUAAUCUAAAACUUACAUUUUAAGAGGAGAAGAUGAAAUCCAAGAGUGAUAAUAACUACAAAAAAAGAUAAUAUUAUGAGAAAUAAAUAACAUAAAAAUUCACAUUUAAAAACUAUAGAUCUAAAACUUACAUUUUUAAAGGAGAAGAUGAAAACCAUGAAUCAUAAUAUCUAAAAUGACAGGAUAAUAUUGUGAGAAAGACUUGAGAGAAUUUUAGAGAGAGGAAGAUAAAUGAGAGAGUUUUAGAGAGAAGAGAGAGAACUUUAGAGAAAAGGGAGAGAGUUUUAAAGAGAAGUGAGAGAGUUUUAAAAACUUAUGCAUCCAUUUUAGAGAGAGAUUGUAUAAAUUUCAUUUAUAUAGGGAGACAAAAAAUGUAACUAGCUUAAAAAAUUAAUGACACUGUAGACUUCUUUUGAAGUCUAUUAAAAUUAAAAUUUUGGAGUAGAUUUUAUCGUAAUUUAGCAGACCUUUUUGGAAGUCUACUAUAAUAAUUUCAUUAUUGUUGUUUAUUCUUUAUUAAUUUUAGUUUUAAUAUAUGAUUUACUAUUUUUUUUGGUUUUUAAUAGUUAUAAUUUAUGAUUUCACAUUUUUAUUCUUAAGAAACUCAACUUAGUUUAAAUAUAAUGAUUUUUUUGUAAACAAAUUUGAAAAACGUAGACUGAAAAAGAUGUCUCCAGCUAAAUAGACUUUAUUGUAGGUCUACGAAACCCUAAACCACAAAUCUUAAACCCUAAAUGUUUUGCUCUAUGAUAAAAAGUCUUAGUUACUGUAUCAAAUAUCAAAUUAUACAAAAUAUAAACUACUAGGCAUUAAUAUACAAAUUUAAGUCAAUAAAACAAAAAAAAACUAAAUCUAACCCUAAGAAAUCUACCACUAGAAUACAUAACAUGUUAUAACCUUUUGUUUCUAAACCAGACUGUCUAACUCAUGGUUAGCAAAUUAGAGUAUAUUCCUUAAAAUUGUUCAAUUAUAUAAAAUUUUAAUUUAUUAACUUCAUAUUAAUCAUUAUAUUGAUGAUUAAUUAAAAAUAUCACAAUAAUUAUUUUAUACAUUUUUAAAAUUAAAUUUUUAGAUCAAAUUACAAUGUAGACUACAUAAUAAAUCUAUAACAGUAGAUUUUUUAGGAGGUCUACAUAUAUGUAAAUUUCUUUCUAUUACGUGUAGACUUACUAAGGACAAAAUUGUAAAAUCCAUUUCUGUUUUUUUUGUUUGGUCAUAAGGGUUACAUAAUAUAUUUACCAUAUUUUUAUGUUGGUUUUGCAUUUGACCGAAAGUAGAGUUCACUUUUAUGUUUGACAUGAAUAUUUGGAUUGGUUUUAUCAAUUAUCCCUUAAAAUUUCCCCAAAAAAACUUAGGUUGCAAAAAAAAUUGUCUUGUUUUGUUUCUUUGAUAUGUAUAGUUUAUAUACACACACUCGCAAACUUUUGCGAGAAAAAUGUAGUACUUUCAUUAUAGAAUUCAAUGUUUACUACUAUGUUACAAAUGAUUUAAGGAGAUUAGCAUUAUAAACACAGAUAUUGAGACUUUUUUUAAAAGAUAUUCAGACUUGUUCCUGAAACCACAUCAUUCGAAGGAAUCAAAUCUGUUGGUCAGCAACACGACUGACCUCUCGCCAAUCGAUAGUCGACUGUUCACACGCGCUAGUGACUUGGGCUUUGGGCUUAUAAAACUUGUGCUUAGAGAGGGUUUUGAGUCAGGGCUUAGAGAGGAUUUUGAGCCACUCGCAGAUUCAGACCCACCUCUAUGUUGUUGUUGCUGCUGCUCUUUUACAGUCCUCAGGAUCGCAGUUGCCUCUGCGACUUUGGAUUCGAGAGCCACGAAGGAUUCAAGCAAGUGAAGAACUUUGGUUUGGUCCAUUUCAAGAAGCAUUCCUGUAAUCUUUGCUGCUGACUCUGGCUCAAGUUGUUCCACCAUAGGGUAAAGACUCUCACCUAACAUCUGUACAAAUCAUUUCACUUCUUAGAAAAAGAACACAACAAAAAGAAAGAGAGAGACAAGGAUAUAACUAUAAAGGCAAAAAAAAAAAAAAAAACUAUAAAGGCAAACAAAACAUUCACGUACGGUUCUCUGCUGUUCGGGAGUUGCAUUUGCAAGUGACAUAGCUAAAUCCACGUAAACUUGUUUCCUUAUCUUCUUUUUCCAAUUAAUUUCCUCCAUCUGAAUACAUGGAAAAACAACCACCAGUAUUAGUUUCUCUGUUCCAAAUAAAGUGAUACAUUGUUUCUAGAAACUUACAGCUUUAGAAGCUUCCUCAGGUUUCGAAAACGCAACAAUGCCUGAUCCUCUACUCACUCCACUAGAGUCUUGCAUGACCUAUCCACAUCCACACGUGUUAUACCUAGAAUAUCCUCGAGAUUUUCUAUAAAUGUACAAACAAACCUUGCAUGAUAUUAUAGUUCCAUAGGGAGAGAAAUAGUCUUUGAGAAUUUCAUCAGUUACACUUUUAUGCAGCUUCUUAACACACAAGUAGUUCAAACCCUGAGAUAUGUUGAUGUAAUAUUUCAAACCUCGCUUCAAAUUAUAUCCAUUCUUAUACGUCAUUUUCGAUUUCGUGACCAACCACUCCUUGUCCUCAAACUUCUUCCCGUUUAAAGCCUCAACAGCUUUCUCAGCAUCCUCUGGAUUUUCAAAACUAACAAAACCAUAGCCUUUAGACUUUCCUUGACGAACUUCACCUUUCCUUAUGAUCAGACAGUUCGUCGUCGGUCCAAACUCUCCAAAAAUCUUCUCAAGCUCUUCAUCAGCCAAUGACUUGGAGAAAUUCUUGACGUAAAUAUCAGUGAAGAUCCCCUUAUCGUAUGGAGAACCUCUCUGAAGAAAAGGUCCUACAUAUAUUUUCUCAUCGUUAAGAAGCAUUCCGUUCAAAUAACCAAUGGCUUUGAGAGCUGAUUCUUCGUUUUCAUACUGCACAAAGCCAAAGCCUUGUGAACGACCAGUGUCAUUAUUAGUAGCCAAUUUGAAUCUUAGAAUGGAUCCAAAACUCCGAAAUGUGUCGUAGAGUGCUUUGUGGCCGAUGGACUCUUCAAGAUUCUGUAAACAAUGUCAGAUUAUAUUGGAGAUCAAGAAACAAAAGAAACUAUUCUUUUGAGUUUCACGUUUCAGUUUAUACCUUUAUAAGUAUACAACCAACCCAGCCCUUUCGAAGAAGACUUGGAUCAUGGACAUGAUAAAUAGCUCUAAUCUCUUUUCCAUUAAUAGUAGUGCGGUUCAUCAUCUCUAGUGCUCUUUGUGCUAUCAACCGGUCGACCAUAGAAGAAAAUCAGAAGUACGUGAAUACAUAGCUAGAAACGGUAACUCGAGAAAGCACUGAACCCUAGGUUGUGAUUGGUGAUAUAGCGUGGCAACCUCAUUAGUAAUAUCUAAAAACAUGUUCUAAUCUCAAAAGUAAUAAUAAUUUAAAGUCUGAUUGGUAAUGGAGACAAAUCUUCUCAUACCCCUAUAUCUCAUAACACAAUUUCAAAAGGACACUUUUGUUUUUUUAAUUUUAUAUAUCAAACGAAAAAUCAUAAAAUUAAAAUAGAAACGUUAAUAUUUUUUAUUUGAUUUAUAGAAUUUGAUAAAAAUAUUUCAAAAAUCCAAAAACGUUGUUUUCCAUAUUUUCGAAAAAAUCAUCAAAAUAUGAUUAAAAACGAUUUUAAAUUUUUUUUUUCUGAAUUUGAAAGGUAUAAAAUUUAAAUAUUUGCCCAUGGGUUCACUAAUCCAUAGGGGGGGUUAGGGUUUAGUUUUGAUAACCGGGAAGGAUUUGAUUUGGAAGUUUGGAUUUUGAUCAAAAAAAGAAUUAUGAAAUAAGGGUAUAGGAGACUCUAAGAGCCCAUAAUAGAUUUGGCAUUGUCACAUUGGGGGCACGCGAGAAGUUGACUAUUGGUAAUGGCUGUAGCUUUAAAAAUUUUACUGUAGAAAAAAAUCUGUAAAUUUUUUGCUUUGGCUUUAGAUUUUAUUACUGUAGAAUUUUAUGGAAAGCACUAAAAAAUUGCUUUGGAUAUUUGGCUAUGCAGAGCACUUGUACAGCUGUAGAUUAUUUUAAGAACUGUGGUUUCAAAAAAAAAAAUUAAAGCUUGAUUGCUUUGAAUUUGGUGUUGUAGAAAUAAAUAGGACGGUUGACACUACCUACAGCAACUACCAAUCACCCCCUUAAUCAUGUGUAAUUUUGUUGCUAAAAUUUAUUUCUUUUGGAAAAAAAACAAGCAGAAGUUGACAAAUAACAACUAAGGAUCAUAACCGAAGGUAAUCUUUUCUACUCUUUUUUAUUAUUUUAAUAUUUCUUUUCAAAAUGAGAUACGAUAGUUGGACCUGCUCUAAAAUCUUUGAAGGCUUUAAAAAGAUUCUAAAGUCUUGAAAUUAGAAAAAAAAUUAGAAAUUAGAUUUGUAGAAAGAAGGCAGAGAAAUAUAGAAAGAGAAAGUAGAAAAGAAGGAGGUUUUUUAGAUAGCUAGUAAAUUUGUGUUUUUUUAUAUCGUUAAGUAGGCUUAGUUUCCCUGAAACUAAAGUCAUAUAUUACCGAAUGUUUUUCUUCUUGAAGAAAAUCAAUAGUUUAGUGAACAACAAGAAGAAAAACUGGCUUUACGUGUUUUAGAGGUUUUUCUGAUCAAUAAAACUUGAUUAGAUAAUAAUAAUAACUAGAUUUUGAUCCGCGCAGGCGCGCGGGUGUAUAUUUUGAAAAAUAUGUUGAUAUUUGUUUUUCAUGUAAUUAUUAGGAUUUGGAAAAAUGAAUCCGAGGAACAUAACCGAUACACAUCCAAAAAUAUAGUACCAAACCCGAACAUAAAUUGAUUAAAUUUUCUAAUUAUUCAAAAUUUUGUUAUUUAAAGAACCGAAUCUGAUCCGAACCGAAGUAUUUGGAUAUCCGAAUUUAUCUAAAAAUAGAUUUAUAUACUUAUAUAUAUAUUAAUUAUUUUUAGAUUUAACGUAUAUAAAACAUCAAAAAUGAUACUUUUAAAUUGGUUUAAAUACUUGAAAAUAUAUAUAGAUAGUCAAAAGUAAAUAUCUGAAAUAGUUAAAGUAUACUCAAAUCACCAAAAAUACUUAAAAUAAUUAUUGAUUCCGUAUCCAAAAUUUUAAAUCAAGCCAAUUGAUAUGUUAAGCUUAAGUAUUAUGACAUAUGUUAUUCAAAUUUAUACGUAAUAUAUUAUUUUAUUUAUACAUUUUGAGAAAUUUAAAAUAUAUAAUGAUUUAAGACUUUAAAAAUAAUUUAAAUUAGUUAUCCAAACCCAAACCAAACCCGCAAAGAUCCAAAUCGACCUCAAACCAAAAUUUAGAAACAUUCUAAUAAGGCUGAAAUCUUUGACCCCGAAAACCCGAAAUACAAACCGAUCAGAACCAAACCCGUAUGGGUACCCAAAAGCCCAUCCCUAGUCAUUAUUAUAUAUCGUAUUUUAUCAUCAUAUAAUUAAUUGUAUUUUAUAUGUACCAUCAUAUAAGUAAUCAUAUAAUUAAUAGUAUUUUAUACAUACCAUCAUAUAAAUAAUUACAUAUAUUAUAUUUUUAAAACUUAAUAUGAAAUAUAAAAACCAUAAUUUGAGUUGGUAUUUCAAAUUGGGCUUUGUAUUAUAUUUUUCUUAUAUAUAUUGACAAUAUUUUUUUUAUAAUGGUUAUUGAAAAAUAGUUUAGUAAAAAUCCAUUUUUGAAUAUAUGUAUAUUUUUGAAUCAAUUUUUGAUAUAAAUCAAAUUUGAAUUAUUAUUUUGAUUUGAAAUAUGUAUAUAAAGUUUAAAUGUUGUUUUAUGGUUAGUUUAGAAAAAAAAAAUUAGGCAAUUAGAUUGACCAUUUUGGUAUAUUUUAAAAGUGGCCUAGAUAACUUUCAAUUUUUUAAAAAAACAUAAGCCCAUUACUUUUUUUUCUUAAUACUACUAUCCUUGUUUUCAAACAAAAAUAUUUUUUUUGUAAAGACUGCAAUCCAUAUUUCCAAACACUCUAAAUUUUUUAAUAGUCCUAUUCAAGUCUGCAAACACUUCAAUUUUGUACUUGAGUUUUAAUAAGAUAGACUAGAUUUUGACCCGCGCUUUGAAAGCGCGGGAUAACAUUUCGGUUAAAUUUUUUGAUUUAACAGUUACUAAUUUUCGGUCUGAAUUUUAAUUUUUGAGUUUUGACAUAUUUAACUGAAAGUAAUUUAUUUUAACUUCUCAUAGUGAUAGUCAUUCGGGUUUAAGGUACGUGUCAGUUAGGAUUAUUCAAUUUUCAAGUUAUUGGGAUUUUAAGACCCGUUUAGGAGAACCAUGCAUUUUCGAAUCAGAUCAAUUCGGGUGAUGUGCAGUUUGAGUCAGGUUUUUAUUUUCUUAUAAAACCAAAGUGAACUAAAUUAAAAAAGUUUGGAUUUAAUUUUGACAAUGUUAUAAAAAUUUUAAAAACACGUCCAAAACCUGAGUUAAACCUGGAAAACUGAAAUUCACAUUUGGAUUGUAUCUAUUCAAGUAAUUCACGUAAUUGGGGGAGGGGGGGGGGGGGGUUGGAUUUUUUUAUUGAUAAAUUAUAUUAUAUACGGAUAGAAAGUAAUACUUUAUUAUGUUUAAAUAAGAACCAUUCACAUUUUUGUAAAUCACUGUUACGAAGGGGAUGAUCUAACAAUAAAUAUUUUCUCAAUAUAUAGGAUAGUUUAUCAUAUAAUAUAUAUAUAUAUAUAUAUAUAUAUAUAUAUAUAUAUAUAUAUAUAUGAAAUAAAAUAUAUUCGAAUAUAAUUAAAAUAAUAAUAUUUUUUGGAAACUUUAAACUAAGAGUCUAUUGAAUAAUACAAUAUUUUUUUGGGUUAUAGAUAGUUUUUUUACUAAAGUAUGAAACUUUUUACAAUUAUUUGAUGACAUAUAUUUGAAGAAUAUAAUUAAUUAUAAUUCUGUAAAGUUAGAAAGGGUUUAAGUAUUUCAUUGAAAGGGAAAAGAAAUCAAGUAAUAUAUAGUAAGGUACGUCAUGGAAUAAUUUCAGUAAUUAGAAAAUAUAGAUUUUAAAUAAGGCAAAGACAUGGUUGUAUAAAACGGUCACUUCCUUUUUGGAUAAUUCGGUUUAUAAUUAGUAUUUAGAAUAUUUGAUAAUUUUACAUCUAAAUAUAAUCAAUAUUUUUAGGUAUACAAAAUGUAUUUUGGAUAUUUGGAUAUCCAUUCGAUUAGCGGUCUUAUUUCGGUCCAUGAGUGAAGCACUUUGAUUUGAAUCCGCCAAAAAGUUUUAAAAGGUUUAAUCUUGCUAAGAAAAUUUAAUUUUACGACUGAUUUAGUCUUUUUUUUUUGUUAUUUGUGGUGAAUGCUUUUGUCAAGCUGUUGAUGAAUGUAGUUUUAUACCAUCUUGUUGUUAAAAAAAAAAGUUUUAUACCAUCUAAUACCAUUUCAGCAUAUUCGUCAGUUUGUUAUAAACUAACGAUUUGUUUUGUUUCUGUUUCACAAAAGUUGAUUUGUGGAAAAUUGAGAACUAUAAUGAUUGGGCGCUAGUUUUUAUGCUAUAAUAUUUUAGAUAUUAAGGUUUACGAUUUUUUAUUUUUCUAAUUUCUAUUGUUUAUUAUUGAUUUGAAAAAAAAAUUGCAACUACGAUAACAACCGGCACAGUAUUUGAAUAGUUAAAAAAGAAAUUGGUAUAAUAAUAAAUUUGUUAUUAAGCAUAUAUAUUUAAAAAAAAACACUUCGACUUUAAUUUAACAGUUAUCUCUAAUUCUGUUUUUAUGCUUUAUUUUCAAUAGAUGAGGGGUAAAAAUAAAAUAAAAAUUAAUGAUUUGAGGUUUAGGGUAUUGUGGAUUAGGGAUCAUAUAUGUUAGGAACGUAUAAUUAUGAAUACUGCCAAAAUACAUUAUAUCAGACUUUAUGUAUAUAUAUUACAUGUCAAUUUGAAAAUCUUGUAUGUUAUUAGAUGGUGUAAGUUUCAAUACGUAAAACCCACACAACACCAUAUACUUCAAAAAAAAAAAACAUAUGGUUUAUGAUUGGUUAUGUUAAUAGAAAUAAUAUAGUUAGAUUUUUUUUUUAGUAUAGAGAAAUAAUAUAAGAUUAGUUAGGUUACGAUAGCUUUAAUGAUUUAAUAGAUUAGUUUGUUGGAAGAGAAGAUUUUGUGGAAUAAGUAAAUAAUGCUUUAAUAAUUUAAUUAAAAUCAUAGUUUAAAAAUAAUCUAGUGGCAUUGUCUUGUAAAUAUUGUUGAAACAGGAGGGCACCUCAAAAAAGGGUCUUCUGUUUUAAUAGUAUUGAUAUAUGAGACUUUUAAGAUUUUUUUAAAAAGUCUUUAAUGCUUUUAAAGCUUUUUUUUUUCUAAACAAUGCUUUUAAAGCUAUAUCACCAAUUACAACCUAUAAAACCUGAUUUUUUAUUUACAGCCAGAAAAAUUUCUACAAUAUUAAAAGCCUAAAGCAAAAAGUCAUUACCAAGCACAACCUUAAUUUUAAUCUAAUCUAAACAGUAAAACCAAAAAUCAAAAGUUACCAUCACGAGAAUGGUGAAAGCUAACGUAGCCAUAGCUAGAUUUCCUGGUGAUCGAAUAUCCGGAAACACGAGCAGAACUAACUUGACUUGCCUGGGAAAACGCAUCGAACAGAACAUAAUCUGUCACUGUCGGCUCAAUAUCACCGACGUACAGCAACAUAUACCCUGCUUCCGCCAUUUCAUAAAUGCUCGGUUCCCUCCACCACCACCACCAGUACGCCAUGUUUUUUUCUUGUAGUUCUUCUCUCUUCCUUCUCUUCUUUUUAUUCACUACGUACGAGUACGACGAACUCAACAAAGGAAAAGCCAAUGAUGCUUCAGCGAACGUUUCAUCUAUAUUUUUCUUGCUAACAAGAAGAAGUCAGAGGGAAGAUAAUCAGUCAAGGCCGGUCGUGGCUCCAUUAACUUUUUGGAAGAACAAUUCAUCUUUCUUGUUCUUUUUUUUUUUGAACACCACAUACUUAUAUUAAAUCCACUUUCGAAAUCUACGGUGGAGAAACCAGAGUAGCCGUACAGAGAGUAGCUUUUGCAAGUUGAUCAGCAGGAGAGUUUAACAAUCUCUCAACAUACUUAAAAGAAACAAAAACAAAUAGAGAGGAUAGAUGUUCGAUGUCCUGGAUGAUUCCGAGGAGUUCAGCCGGAAGCUACGAAGUGAUUGCUACUAAGAGCGAUUGACAAUCUGUAUUAAGACAGAUGCUUCGAAGUGAUUGCUGCUAAGAGCGAUUAACAAUCUCUCAUCUUUCUUGUUCUUAUAUAUCUCAAAUAAAAGCUUUGUCUACAAUAGAUUUCUCUUAAUAAUAAAAUAAAAUUACAAAUUAAAUGUACAGAUUUUCCAAAAAAUAAAUUAUUACAUAAACAUAUAUAUAUGCUAUAUAUUAAAAAGAAAAGAUAUAAAAAGUAAAUUUAACGAUGAUUCAAGAUAAAAUCUUACUACCGAAACGAACCAAACCAAAACUUUUGGGUUUUGGUUUGGUUAUUCAGGUUGAACCGAUCGACAUCAUUUUUCUGCUCUAUCCAACCAACGUUUAUAAUUUUAAUCACCUAACGUGAAUAAUUUAGUUUCUGCACAUAUUAAUUACUUAUCUUUCUGCCACUCACAUACUAAAGAAUAUAUGUCACUUUUUAAUAUUAGUACGACAAUCAUUUAGAAUAAGCCGUUGACGGAAGAAAAAUGAUAAGACCAACGAAGCUACACAUGUAUGCAACCACCCUUUGGCAUUACAAAAUGGACAUUUAAUUACAUUAAUAUUUUUUCAUUCUAACGAAUAAUUCAUUUUUAGAUUUUACUAAUUAUAUGCUCUAAAGCUGCCAACAAGAAUAAUACAUCUGCAUUGACUUCACAGCUUCACUUUUGCUCACACUCUUUCUAUAUAAUUAAUCUUUCUCUAAGCCAAUCCUCAAAGCUCGCAUCAAACCUUUCACCAAUGGCCCCAAAUUAUAACCAUUCCUCUUCUUUCAUCUUAUUGUUUCUGUCUCUUCACUUUCUUUCAAUUCUAGCCACAAGAAACAACCUCAUCACCGACAGAAACGCUCUUGAAAUCAUCAUCGGCGGCGGUGAAAGCUCCAAUGACUAUUCUCCUGCGCCGUCUCCGGAGCCAGAAGACUGUCCUCCACCGCCGCCUCCGGAGCCAGAAGACUGUCCUCCGCCUCCUCCUCCACCGCCACCUCCGCCACAGUUCUCUAGUCCACUAAUAGAGAAAGUGUAUCCAGUCAUCAAGAAGUUCCAAAACCUAGUCGAAAAUGAUCCAAAGAAGAUACUCAAAACAUGGGUAGGCACUGACAUUUGCGCCGAAGACAAGUACAUAGGGCUCGAGUGCGCAAAGUUCCCGGGAACAAACGAUCUCGCACUCGCGAGCAUCCAGUUCAACCAGUUUAACUUCGGAGGCAAGAAACUAAGGCUAGAUAACUUCCUCAACAAGUUAGAAGAAGUCACCAUCUUCCACGCAAACAGCAACAACUUCGUGGGCGCUGUUCCCGAAGUCAGCAACUUGAAGUACUUAUUCGAGCUUGAUCUCAGCAACAACAAGCUCUCCGGAGAGUUUCCAAGCUCUGUCUUAAAAGCAACCAACCUCACGUUCCUCGAUCUUAGAUUCAACUCUUUCUCCGGUUCUGUGCCUCCUCAGGUUUUCAAUCUUGACCUAGACGUCUUGUUCCUCAACCACAACAAUCUUGUUCAGAGACUCCCCGAGAAUCUCGGAUCCAUCACUGCUCUUUACCUCACAUUCGCUAACAACAGGUCACAAAAGCUCCACAAUUUAUUUAGUUUCAUUGAAUGAAAUCUAAAAGUGUUUCAAAAUAUGUGUUUAGUCGUUAGAAAUUUAAUUAGACAUUCUUCAUUAAAACAUUAAUUACUCUGUUUUGGUUUUUGUAGUAGGUUAGGUGUUAGGUCUAUAUAAAUUAAUUAUCUAAAGAGGUUCGUUGGACUUUCAUGUGACGUGAUGCAGAUUCACGGGUCCUAUUCCCGAAAGCAUAGGUGAUAUCAAGUCCCUACAAGAAGUCCUGUUCUUAAAUAAUAAGUUAACCGGUUGCUUACCAUACCAAAUCGGGAAGCUUAACCAAGCUACGGUUUUUGACGUCGAGUUUAACCAGCUAACCGGUCCGAUUCCAUACUCUUUCGGAUGCCUAGACAAGAUGGAACAGCUCAACUUGGCUAGAAACAAGUUCUACGGUACCAUACCGGAGAUCGUAUGCGAGCUCUCAGCACUCAAGAACGUUUCACUCUCGUUCAAUUACUUCACGCAGGUUGGUCCAAAAUGUAGAGAACUUAUCAAGAAGAAGAUUCUAGACGUUCGCAUGAACUGUAUUCUAGACCUUCCUUAUCAGAGAACGCCAUGGGAGUGCGCAAAAUUCUUCAUGCGAAAACAGAAGUGUCCUAAGUCCAAGUCUUUCUUUUACAUGCCUUGUGAUAAGGCCCCGCACCGGAUUAAACCGGAGCAAGAAGAGUUAGACGGUCAGGCUUCGCCACCAGUAUCGUACCGUGCUCUUAACCCGAACGGGAUUCGGAAUCUUUAGACAAAACCAAAUUGUUUUUUACGUAAUUAUGGAUAUUCAUGUUUAUUUUUAUAUUGCAAGUGUGAUUUGCUGAAUAAAUGCAAUGUGUGUAUUGUCAUUACAAGUAAAAUAAGUUUUGUCUUGAUCGUAUCGAGUUUAAUCGGGUUUGGUUCUUUGUGAACCGAAACCCGGAACAUAUAUUAGUUGGUAUAAAGUAACCCUCAAUGUCCAAAAAAUGAGAGAAGUGAGACAAAGGUUACAACAAACACAGAAAGCCCAAGUUGGGUCGGUUUGGUAGCAUCGGCUGUAAGUUUCGCAAUCAUCAUGAGUUUCGAAUCCAGUUUCGUCGGCUCUUCACGUUUCUCACACGUCCCAUACGGCAUGUUUUCCUACAUACACACACAAAAACGUUAACAUCUUCUAUGACAUGCAAAAUCCAUAUAGUGCGAAUAACGUGAAGAUCACAGGUUUGAAACCUUAUAAACCAUUAUAUUUUCAUAUUUACUUAUCUUCGAGGGACUAAUCUAACGGGUCAUAAAUAGGGUCCCCAAUUUUUUUUAUAGAUUUCUUACAUAAAAUAGGCUCCAGAUUAUGGGAAAAAAAAGAUUUUUAUAAAAGUUUUUCAAAAAAUAUUUGUGCCCCCAAAUUCUCAGAUCCAGCCUUGGUCAUAAGUUUGAUUUCUGUUAUGAAGGAUUUGCUCGCUUAAAUAAAGUUAAUUUAACAUGGCAUAGAUCUCGUCCUAUAAGAUAUUUUGGACUGAAAACCUUCUAGUCAUUCCAAAAAAAGAACCAUAGACUACUAACCUUACAAGCGGAUAUAUCGUCACAGCCGCAAAGUGAACGGCCGUUAGCAACAUCAACUGCUUUUGGAGCUCCUCCACCAUCGCUUCUCUAAACCACACACAUACAUAUUAACAUUAUUUAAACCGGAUCAAAUCUCACCAAACUCUAACCACAUUAUCUUACACACCUUGUAGAAAUCAACGGCAAUGAAGUUAGGCCAGCGUUGUCCAGAGGCUUCUUGACAUUUUUGUAUGGCGUCAAGAAGAGGAGCAGAGUUCUGUUUACAAGAUCCCAUCAAAUCCGCAGUAUCAGGAAAAUAGUUUACCAGAACUAGUGAUCUAGAUUGAUCUCCCAUAGCAGCUGACUCUGGUCUAUUGGUACACACUCCAGGCCUCAUGCCUCCAUUUCCAUCUAAAAACAUAACGUCAUAUCAGUUUUAAAUAAUAAUAAUAAUAAUAAUAUAAUGUAUCAAAUAUAUUAGGAAAAACUGUUUAGAGAUGGACUCACAUUGAUUCUCUACCAUGUAUUUCCAUAAAAAUGCGAAUCCUUCAGUAGCUUCUUUUUGAGGAUUUGACGUAAAAACCAGCAUCCGUUGGUUCUUAGUUAUCAUUUCAUCGAUGGUAGGCCAAUCUUCUCCGUUCUUAGGCAUACUUGUUACCGGAAACAUGAAAUUUCGUAACCCGGAUGCAUCAAACACUCUGCCUAAACCAUUGGGAGAUUUCACGUAGUCCUCGAUGAUAAGUGUCACAACCACAUCCUUGUUCUUGUCUAGAAACACUUGAAACUCGUGUAGAAUGUUAAGAGCCGGUUGCUACAUACGAACCAAAGACCAGAUUAAAAACAUUUUUGACAUUUGAACCGAUCGACUUAUGUGUGUGAAUCCAUGGAACUUACAAACGCUGUGUAGUUGAAGCAGUUUCCACCAUAAGAAUGGCAAAGCCAUAUAUCGUUCUGGAAGUCGUACAUGUCAAGCAUAAACCCUCUAACACCAUUCUGGAAACCCACAGAAUAAAAUAAAAGAUACAAUAAAAUUUAAAGAAAUUAACUUUUAAAAUGGGUUUAUCAAAAGAAUGAAGUACACUUCUUUUCUUUGAAGGAAAGAAUGAAAUAUUUUAAAUGAGUUUAUGAAGAAUAUUUACAAUAAGUUGGCUUGUGAUUGAAUCUUGUUGGUUGGAAGGAGCAAGAAUCAUAGAGCCUGUGCCUGAUCUUGCACCUAUUCGAGCAAAUGAAUUGUGUGUUGUCAACCACGUGUAUUUGUUGUAAGGCAACCCUUUCACCUUUAUCACAUAUAAACAUCAAUCAAUCGAUUAAUCAAAUACAUAUAUAUAUAUAUAUCAUCUAAAUGUUUAAACGAAAAGAGAGGAAACACAAAAAAAAAAAGAACAAACCUUAGAGGUGGGGUUAACGGUUUGCAUUCGGGAGCAUCUAGGUCGAAAAUUAUCGCUUGAGAGACACGAUUCGCAGUGUAGUCCCUGAUCACAAUUCUUGGUCACGAUGCAUGUUUCUCCUUCCUACCAAUCACACAAUGAUCAACAAUUUGUGAUACAUUCUUGAUGAGUUUGAGAAUACACUUUGUUACGAUUUUCCUUACCUUGAGGGCAGAGGAAGGGUUAAAGAUGAGAAAACAUGGAAUGAGAAGAACUGUUAGAAAGAAGGUGAGACUUUGAAACAUUGUCUUCUUUCUUGCUACAAAAUCCCAUAAAACUUUUGAAAAGAGAAAAAGAAUUAACCCCCCAAGGAUUUUGGGAAGAAGAAACUACUUUGUAAAAUACAAAAGAUUUUCAACUGGUUAUCUGCAUUUGCCAACAAAGAAGAAAAUAGAAACUUAGAAGUCUAAAUUUAUCUUUUUCUCUUGAGAAAAAGGUAAGAAGUUGCGGGUAUCUCGGAGACAAUGGUGAUAUUAAUAGCUAGCUACCAGAGGAGAAGAUGCUUCUUUUGGUUUCUCGUUUUGUAUUGAUGGCUUCAUGCUUUUUAUAUUCCAUUUUGCUAUAAGAAAUUCUUCUUUUGUUGUUUUUAAAAUAAUAUAUUUCACCCAAAAAAGGGAAAAAUAUAUGUGACCGCUAUCAUCAUCGUAUAACAAAAUAUCUAGUUAUAAAUAGCAUGCCAGCUACAUUUUUUAAAGUGCUUUAUUAAUCUUAUAAAAGUUACGUUUGUGCCGGUCCAAAUCUAUAGAAAAACAACCUCACAUGAGGGAUAACAAUACUAUACGACAUGAUAUCUGUAUUUUUUAAUAAUAUAUACUUUCAUAUUAAUCAUUAUCUUGUAAAUGACAUAUACAAUGUCCCGCAUGUUAACAUUUAUAGGUGUUUGAUGAUGAAGAGCAUAAGAGAAUUAAUAAUAAACUAGAAGGUGGCAGUAUCUUCAUCUGAUCAAGAUAAAUUUGAACUGACGUCUUCGAAGAUCCGCCCGCUACAACAUAGUUUACAUGGAUUCAGAGGAUGGAUACUACUAGUAUACAGUAUACUACUCCUUCUCUUCCACGAUAUAAAAUGUUUUUAAAAAAAUAAUAAUGUUCCAUAAUAUAAGAUAUUUUGAUAUUUUAAAAAUAUUUUAAUUUUAUUAAAAAUUAGUUGACCAAAAACAUUUUAUUACAUUAUUUAUGAUUGGCUAAGUUAUUCUAAAUUUAUAUUAUUAAUAAUAUUAGUUUCUAAAAUGUAAGUUUUUUAAUCCUCAUGAUUUUAAGCAAAACAUUCUAUAUUAUGGAACUGAAGGAGUAUAAAAAAGGGGAUCUCGAAAAAUCUGUAUGUCAUGUGACUAUCAGCAAUGGGCCUGUUGAAUAAAUUAUUCAACAGCUUAAACCAAUGUAAUGCAGGUGUUGAAUUGAAAAAAAUCAUACCUGGAUUCACAAGUGUUAAUUUUUUUCAACUAGUUGAAUCCAAAUAAUUUGACCCCACUCUUACACAUCUUUUAGGGGUGGACAUUUUACCUGAUACCUGAACUCGUAUCCGAACCUGACCUAAAAAACUGGACCGAAUUCCAAACCGAAAUAGCAAAAUACUCGAACGGAUAUUGAUUUAUGAGAGAUUUGAUAUCCGAAACCGAAUGGAUAUCCGAAGAUAACCGAACAUAUGUAUACUUACCCUUAUAUUUCUUGUUUACAUCUUUCAUUUUAUUUAAAAUAUUUAUAUUGAUGUUACACAUACUUUAAGAUCAUACAAUAUACAUAUAAUUACAGAGAAAAUGAUUUGUCAAUCAAUUAAAAUACAUUUCAAGUUUUUUUAUUUCAUGUAUUAACAAAACAUUCAAAAUUUCAAAACAAUAGCUAAAUUAAUGUUCAUUUAUUUUUGAAAUGAUAUCUACAAAUCUAACAAUCAUUUAAUUUAUUAAAAAUAAAAAAAUCAUUUAAGUGAAAUCUAUAUUUUCAAAUAGAAUAAACCUAAAAAUAAAAAAUAUAAUUUCUUUUUUUUUCAAAAUCUCAAUAUUCGAAUCCGACCCAAAAUAACCGAGCCCGAACUAAAAAUACCCAAACUUGACCUGAAGUAUAAAAAUACCCGAACGAAUUUUGUACGCCUAUACCAAAAUACCAGAAAAUUCUAAAUACCCGACCCGAACCCGAACGGGCAUCUGAACGUCCACCCCUAACAUAUUAUAUUAUUAUUGGUUAUCUAGUUUUUGUUCUUUUUUUUUCACCCAAUAACUUAAACUUAAUUAAUUUAUAGUAAAACACUUUAUUUAAAAAUAAAAAUUAUACCAAAAUUUAACAUUUUUGAAGAUCUAUAAAUAGAGACUAGUUUCAUUUCAUUUAGAUAUAGAAUAAAAAUUUAAUUUUUCUUAUAAUUUCUAUGUUUUAUUAAUAACUAGAUAUGAGCCCGUUGCAUUGUAACGGAUUUUUGUUUGAUGUUUUAAUUUAUUAAAAACAUAAAAUAAUAUAUCAUUUUAUUAUAGUAUUAUGAUUGUUUUUUGCAUAUGUUGUUUGAGAUUUAUUUUAUAAUUAAAACAUUUUCACACAUAAGUUCAAGUUAAAAUUUGCAUUUUAUAAUUAUGGUGCAUAGAUUAGUUGUUAUAAAAUUUAUACUAAGGAUUGGAGAAAAUACUAUACAUAAACAUUUAAAAUGAACCCAAUCUGAAAAUAAAAAAUGAAAAGUAAAAACGAAAUGAAAGUUAAGUAUACCAAUCGAAUCAAUGAAAACAUUAUACGUGUUCUUAUGUACUAAUUUAAUGUUUUAUUAAAUAAGUCUUUAAAAUUUUAUUUUGCUAGGAUUUUUUUUUAAAAGAAAACAUUAAAUUUUAUAAAUAUCCUUUAUAUUUACAAUUAAAAAAAUAUUAAAUACUCUUUUACAUUUUGUUUAAGAUUUUAGAAAAGGUAAAUUUCUGUCAUAUAACCUAUUACAAUUAUUUUCUCUUUAGAAUUUCAUAAAAAAAAAUAUUGCUAUCAAAUAAUUUAUUUUAGUUAUUAAUAAAUAUUUUUCAAAUUGCUAUUUUUACAUUUCGUAUCAAUACUAAUUUUACAAUUCUUUUGUUAAUUAAAUAAUUUUUAGUAUCAUGUUCAUCAUCAAACACUCUCUUAAAAAUAAUAUCAAAUAAAGUUUUACAAUUCAUUUUUGGUUAGGACUUAAAAAUAUUAUACAAAUUUCUUUUAUUUAGGAUUUUAUUUAUAAAAAAAACUACUAUCAAAUAUUCUCUUACAGUUUUGUAGGAUUUUAGAAAAGGAAAUUAAUAUUACAUAAUAUUUUACUAUUAUAUUUUGUCUAGGGUUUAAAAAAAACAUUUCUUUCAAAUAACUAUUUACAGUUAAUAUUAACUAUUUUUAAAUGUUGCAAUUUUCAAAAAUCCUUUUUUUAAAUAUCAUUAAUAUUUUUACAAUUUUUCUUGUAAAUUGAAUAAUUGUUACUAUCAUGUUUAUCAUUAGAUUUUGAAGUAAAAAUUACUGUUAAAUAAAAUUUUACAAUUCUCUCUAGUCACGAUUUGGACCUGUGUGUUGCAACGGACUUUGUUUGAUAUUUUAAUUUAAUAUAAGAAAUUUAAAAAUUAUUUUGUUAUAGUUUUAAAUAUGAAUAACUGUAGUUCCUUUUGGUUUAUGAUCUUUUUAAUUAGGAUUUGAAUAAAGGAAAAUUAACAUUAAACACUCUUUUACAAUUUUUUGGUUUAAAAGUUUAAAAGAGGAUAAUUACUAUUAACAUUUUUUACAGUUAUCUUUUCUUUAUGAUUUUAGAAAAAGAAAAUCAGUAUUAAAUAAAUUAUUUGUACAAAUCGUUUUUGGUAUAGGGUUUGUAAAAACGAAAAUUACUAUUACUGUUUUCAGAAAAAUCGGAUUUUAAUAUAGGAAAAUUAAAAGUAAACACUCUUUUACAAUUAUUUGGCUUAAGAAUUUAAAAAGGAUAAUUACUAUCAAUUUUUUUUACAGUUAUCUUUUAUUUAUUAUUUUAGAAAAGGAAAAUUAUUUGUACAAAUAGUUUUUGGUUUAUGAAUUUAGUAAAGGAAAAUUAGUAUUAAAUAAAUUAUUUGUACAAAUCAUUUUUGGUAUAGGAUUUGUAAAAACGAAAAUUACUAUUAUUGUUUUUCUGAAAACCGUGUUAAUGUGUGAAUAUAGUUUUUUUUUGGUUUAUGAUAGAAAAAAAAGAAAUGUAUUAACACAUGUCACAACCUUAAUUAUAUAAAAUUAUAUAACUGUCAUGUGUCGGGAUCGUGUUAAUUAACAACUUUGAAAAAACCAAUAAAACAAAAUUAACAUUAAGCAUUCUUCUACAAUUUUUUUGGUUUAAGAUAUUUAAAAAGGAUAAUUACUAUCAAAUUUUUGUUUUACAAUUAUCUUUUUUUUAUAUGAUUUUAGAAAAAAAACAGUAUUAAAACAUGUUACAAUCUUAAUUAUAUAACUGCCAUGUAUCACGAUCUUGUUAAUUAGCAACUUCUUAAUUAACAUUAAGCAUUCUUCUACAAUUUUUUUGGUUUAAGAUAUUUAAAAAGGAUAAUUACUAUCAAAUUUUUGUUUUACAAUUAUCUUUUUUUUUUAUGAUUUUAGAAAAAAAACAGUAUUAACACAUGUUACAAUCUUAAUUAUAUAACUGCCAUGUGUCACGAUCUUUUUAAUUAGCAACUUUGAAGAACCAAGCUUUAUAUAAUAAGAUAAUAAUUUUCUGAAUUCAAUUACGUCGUUGUAUAUUUGUUUAAAAAUAUUAUUUUAAUAUUAUUUUCGAAAAAUAGUAAAGAAUAUAAAUAUAAAUAAAUUAAAAUGGAAAUAUAAAGAAUAUUAUUUUCAAAAAUUAGUAAAGAAUACAAAUAUAAAUAUUUGUUUAAAAAUAUUAUUUUAUAUAUAGAUGUAUAUGAAGCACUGGAGAUUCCUCUACGACAUAGUUACUUAUUGCCUUGUUUGUUUCAGAGAAGCUGUUAUAUGUCUUAGGAUUAACAAAAACUAUGGUUUCUACUUGACAAAAUCAAGCGAAGACAUUAUAGCCACUUGGAAGAGUAGGAAAAAAGCUACAAAACAACAAACAAUUGCAAUCAUUAUGUUUAAUUAGGCUAUGCAUAUAUAAAGGUAGCAAGAAAAAUAAGGGGAGUAUUUUUCAUGUAGAUAAAGUUUAGUUUUUACAAAAAAGUAGAAAACAAUGCUUGUCUGAUAAGGGUCACACAUAAAAAGUUCUCAAAUCUCAAUAUAUUCGAUAACUAGAAGUUAGAACAAAGCAUAUAUUCAAUUAUUCAUGGGGGUGUUUUAAGCAAAUGAACGAACUUUGCGGCUAAAAACAUAAGAGAAUGGUAAAUUAGGGGUGUCUCUUGUGGUUUCGUCGUUUUCAUAAGUAACAAGAAAAAUAGGCAAAUCUGGGCUCUUCCUCAGUCUCAUUGUCACUAAAACAUUUCCUUCAACUGUCAUUCUCUCAGGCGACUCUUGCCAUUGACCUCUCUCUUUAGUAAAGUCUCUCUCUCUUUCUUCCCCCAUGGUGCUUCACAAGCAAGCUCUCUUGCUCACAUUCAUCUCAGUUCUUGGAUUCCAUCAACUGCCUUCACCAACAGAAGCAGGUUUGAUUCUUGAUUAGCAUUAUAAUCUUUCAAGACUUAGAUUAGGAGAGAGAGAGUUAACUACUAAUCCUAAUCUUGAUUUUCUUGAAAAAAGUUUUUAACCUUUGUGAGUUCUUUCACAGAAUGUCCACUGGACUUGACCUCAUCAAACUUCACUCUCGUCGCCUCCGUCUGCUCCACCAACGCCGACAGAGCCAAAUGCUGCCGCUACAUGAACGCCUUCGUCGCCGUAUCCGUCUCCCGCUACGCUAACCACACGGCGGAUCUCGGAGUGGCACCAGAGUUAACCUCCAUCUGCAUCACCACCAUCUCAAGAACCAUGGAGCUCUACGGCAUCCCAACUAACGCGACGCUCUUCUGCGGACUAGGGACCAAGAUCCUCGUCAGCUACGACUGCGAAGGUCUCACCACUGUUACUCAAAUGCUUCAGUCCCCAAAGUUUGGAGAUGUUUCAAGAAACUGCGAGCUGCCGUUUCGUUGCAAGAGCUGCUUGAACUCUGGUAUCACUUACAUUCGUAGUUUGGUGGAUAGAGGGAAUAACAUUAAGAUGAGUACUUGUAGGGAUGCGACCUACGCUGCUUUAGCUAGCCGUGUUGAUAGUAGUUCUGCUCUUGAGCUUGCUAGCUGCUUCUUUAACGUGUCUGAGCUUACCACCACUCCAGGUAUGUGUCAAGUUGUCAUUCAUAAAUCAUUGUUUUGUUUUUUUUUUCUGAGUUGUUUGAUGUCUUCUGCUCAGAGUUUCCAUUGAGUCCAGAAGCUUCUCCAGUUCCAGUGGUAGCUGAUAGUCCAAGUGGCAAUGAUGAUCUUGUUCUGUCUCCAAGAAGAAGUCACCAUGGUUAUCACUUGACGGUGGUUCCGGCUAUUGGGAUCGCUGUUACAGUGUUUUCUGUUAUGAUGCUCGCCGUGUUAAUAGUUCUUAUCCAAAGAAAGAAACGGGAGCUUGAUGAUGAUGACUCCGAGGGCAAGGAUCAUAAUCCAACGAAGACCCUCCCUAAAGUGAUGAUGAUUCAUGAAGGUGUGUAAAGUUCUUCUAGUGAGGUGUUUAGAGCACGUUUAAAGAAACAAACGUGUGGUUUGUUUUUUGUUUGCAGGUAGUUCGUUGGCUUUUAGGAAAUUUAGCUACAGGGAGAUAAGGAAAGCAACUAAAGAGUUCAGCAGUGUGAUUGGCAGUGGGGGGUUUGGGACUGUUCAUAGAGGUGAGUUUAGUAAUGGGUUGGUUGCAGCUGUGAAAAGGAUGAAGAGGAGCUCUGAACAAGCGGAUGAUGAGUUUUGCAGAGAGAUUGAGCUUCUAGCCAGGCUGCAUCACCGCCAUCUAGUUGCUUUGAAAGGCUUUUGUACUAAGAAGAACGAGAGGUUCCUUGUCUACGAGUAUAUGGCCAAUGGGAGCUUGACGGAUCAUCUACAUUGUAUGCUCAUGAUUUUCUUGUGCUAUGUUAUUGACUUUUGCUUCAGAAUCUUGAACCUUUGUUCUUCACUUCUGUGUAGCCACAGAGAAACCUCCACUUAGUUGGGCAACUAGGAUGAAAAUCGCAAUCGAUGUGGCUAAUGCUCUGGUAAAUUUCUAAAGCCUUCAUCAAACUGAUAUUAUAUGGUUCUUAUUACUGUUCUUGUCUGGAUAUUUUAUCUGUUCUUUCAGGAAUACCUUCAUCUAUACUGUGACCCACCUUUAUGUCACAGAGACAUAAAGUCAAGCAACAUAUUACUCGACGACAACUUUGUUGCUAAGGUGUGUCUCACAUAUCUUUCUCAUUGACUUGUCUGUUAGUUUCACCUAA